CUGGAACGUAUGAGACUGUCGAUAUUUAUUGUUAACCCUGACCACUCAAUUGGAAUAUUCGGCUAUUCCUACAACCGUUACCGGGUUUCGGGACCGGAUUGAUGAACUGAUAUAAAUUAAAGUCUCUGCGGUGCUCGAUAAUUUGGAAACAAUUUUAGAAAUCGUCGUUUAUAGUGCGACACAGGCGCGCACCCAGGAUUUUUGUUUGAAGGGGGCUUAAACAUUUUCCUAUUAUUCUUACACACAAGUAUCAAACGACUAUCACUAAUUUUUAAAUAUUUUUUUUUUAUUAUUACCGCAUAGCGCAUGGUUUUAAGUGUAUAAUAUUAAUAACUAAACACUAUGACGUAUAAAUUUAAAAAAAAAAAAAAAGAACUGUCAUUACUUUGGAUUGUCCCAAUGGCGGAAUCGAAUGGACUGAAUGAAUUGUUCCAACGGACGAACG